CAGGUCUAUAUAAUUACUGUGCAAAGACAUAAAAACCACAGACAAGCUUUGAAGACUACCACCUGUUUAGAAGACAGUAUCAGAUAUGGAUCAUGUUCAUCAGAUGGACUAUUUGACUUAGUCUGCUCAGAUCUUGGCACACUAAGCAGACUCUGGCUUGCUGCACUUCAGGAUUUUGCUCUUUUAACUUUGCCUUCAGAAUUUGCCUCCCAACUUCCUGCUGAAGGCGGUGCUUUCUACACAGCAGAGACUAGUGAAAAUGCAAAAUUGCAUUAUUACAACUCUUGGGCGCUUAUCCUCCAUGCUACGGCAUUGUGGCUUACAAGCACGGGCUUUGUUGUUGCUGACCCAGACGAAGGAGCAUCUAAUCUCUCCAGGCCUGUAACACCAACUUCCAUGUGUCAGGGUUCAUCAUCUGGGGCUACCAUAAAGUCCCCUGAGGAUGUCUACACUGAUAGAUUCCAUCUUAUUUUAGGAAUCAGCGUGGAAUUUCUAUGUUCCUUACGUUCAGACGCAACCAUGGAAAGCAUAACUGCUUGUUUACAUGCAUUGCAAGCACUUCUAGAUGUACCUUGGCCCAGAUCAAAAAUUGGCAGUAAUCAGGUGAUUUCUCUGGGUUUUUGUUUUUUUUUUUGUAAGGCUUCUGCAGACUUUAAGGAAGAGAAACAUGUUCAGGUUUCUAUAGUUAACAGAAAGUAAACACAGAGAAAUUUUUUUAAAAACUGUACAGCCGCACAGCUAGGCUUGAACCAGAAUGCCGUAGUAUAUGACCCAGAAGCAGUCAUGCCUCUGACUCUGUCACUUUUCUGUCUCUGCUUCUUUCUGCAGUGAUGGGAAGGUUCUGUAUUGCAUUGUCCAGGACAGUAGUCACUAGUUACAUGUGACAUUUAUUCUUUGUUUCUUUUUGCUUCUGCAUACCCUGCUCUUUGUAUAUAUACCUAUAUCUUAUAUUCCAUUCCCCAAGAGAGAAUCUAAUGAGUAUGAUGUACUUACUGUCCAUUACAAAGUACUCCAGUUGGCUGAGUUCUCCCUCCAGGUAUUUUUAAGAGAUUGCUUACUAGCCUAUAGAUGGAGUCAGGCACUAAUAUCUAACUUGGAUGUGGCCAUAAGAAAAGGAUUCCUGUACAGAGUAUGGUACUUCUUUGACUGCUUUUCUCAAGGGCAAGUAUGCAUUGGGCAGAUACUCUUAUAUCAUGUUUUAUCCAGUAUAUUACUUUUGUUAUUGACACUUGGAUGUUAAGAUAAAUGAGUAGUAUGAUUUCCUCUCCACGACUGUCUAUUAUUUAAGUGUUUAAUACUAACUUUAUUAGGCUUAAAGCAUUAAUCAGGUUCCUGACUUGGAUUGGACUUGAAUAAAUCUUAAACCCUUUGUGCUUGUUUUCUCUGUUAAAACAAGUAUUAUAAUGACAGAUUUACUUUAUUAUUUUCAAAGAUGAAAGAAAGCAACCAAGACUAAUCAAUAUAAAAGAGAAUAGAAAAUGGAAUAUUUCUCUAGUGUAUUUUAUUCUUUGUGUAGUCAUUCUAUGCUUAUUUACUCACAAUUACUUUUAAAGUCAUACUUCUCCCUCAUUAUUUAUUAUUACUAGAAAACACUCUUAAUAAUAUAAAUCUGUCAAUCUACAUGUCAGUCGUGUAUUCUUUUAGCCAAAUUUCCCAUCUUGUUUUAGAAAUUUUCUUUUCUGUUUCAUGUGAAAAUGAUCUUUUGUCAUAACACCAUCUCCCACAAGAUUUGACAAAAAGCAAUCUGGAGUUGAUUUUUUUUUUUAAUUUUUAUUUAUUUUUGAGACAAAGUCUUCUUAUUGUCCAGGCUGUAGUGCAGUGGCACAGUCUCAGCUCACUGCAAUCUCUGCACUCUCCCUACCCCCAGGUUCAGGUGAUUCUCCUGCCUCAGUCUCCUGAGCAGCUGGGAUUACAGACGCCUGCCACCAUGCCCGGUUAAUUUCUGUAUUAUUAGUAGAGACAGGGUUUCACCAUGUUGGCCAAGCUUGGUCUCGAACUCCUGGUCUCAAGUGAUCCACCCACCUCUGCCUCCCAAAGUGCUGGGAUUAUACGUGUAAGCCACCACACCCAGCCUCUGGAGUUGAUUUAAAAUGGAGCAAGUGCUACUUAACUUUAUUGCACUAACAUUUUUGUUUUUUUGUGAGCAAUUUGUUACAUUCUCUUUUUCUGAAUUUUGUCGUGGCAUUUAGCAUUGUAUUUUUUACAGAAGAAAUGUAUGAUUUCUAAUACAGUGUCCUCUACAUAUUUUCUGUGAUAGGACUUGGGUAUAGAAUUGCUGAAUGUUCUACAUCGAGUAAUUUUGACCAGAGAAUCACCUUCUGUUCAAUUGGCUUCACUUGAAGUGGUAAUGCAGAUUAUCUGUGCUGCUCAAGAACAUGUGAAGGAAAAAAGACGAAGUGCAGAAGGUAAAUGUUAACCUUUAAUGCCAAGUUAACCAAAUAGCAUCAUUCUUUUGUGAAGUAUUAUUUAAUGUAUCUAUAUGGUUUUGAUAAUCUUGUGUGUGUGGUACAAAUAAAACAUGUCUAGGCAUGGCCUUAUUUUACUUUCUGUGUUCUACAUUUAGAGAAAUCUACCUAGUAAUAAACUGUAGAAAUGAUCUCUGAAAGUACAGUCUUUAUGCAUAGCUUUAUUUAUUUAUUUUGGGAGACAGGGUCUUACUCAGGUUGCCCAGGCUUGAGCGCAGUGGCACGAUCUUGGCUCACUGCAUCCUCAGCCUUACAGGCUCAGGCGAUUCUCCCACCUUAGCCUCCUGAGUAGUUGAGACUACAGGCACAUGCCACCAUGCCUGGCUAAGUUUUUGUAUUUUUCAGUAGAGACAGGGUGUGGCCGUGUUGCCCAGCCUUGUCUCUUAAACUCUUGGACUAAAGCAAUCCACCCACCUCGGCCUCCCAAAGUGCUGCGAUUACAGGCAUGAGCCAUCAUGCCUGACCUGGCAUGGCUUUAAAUCCUCUCAUUCACUUCUAUGUUAGUUUAGAUAUUGUCAGUAUUUAAACUACUAUUCUUUUGGGGAAAUGAGAAUUUUAACAAAACCUGGAAGAAAUAAAUCCCUUACACUAUUUAGAGUACUUGCUUUAGCUGUGUUUACCAAUGUGCAUGGAAAGAACUUACGUUUGCAGAUUGUUCAUUUACAAGUCUAAUAUGGUAUUGAAUAGUUUACCACUUAAGAUUAUAGUUGACUACAUAUUAUAGAAAACCCAAUAUUAAACCCCAAAGAUUUAUUUGCUCAUCUGAAAAGGCAGCCAGAGGUAGGCAGUCUAGGGCUGGUAUGGCGCCUUCUUAAAGAUGUUAAGGACAUAAGUUUCUUUCUGCCAAGCCACCAUUGAUACCUAAGGUCACAAGGUAAUUUCUGGAGCUCUAGCUAUCAGGUUUACAGUCUUAAUAGCAAGAAGGAGUUAACCAGGCAAUAUUGUAAGGGUCACGGAAUUAAAAAGACUUCUUUUGACCCAUUGCAAUAAGAAGUCAUAAUAAAGAUGAUUACUUUUACCUUCAUAACUUCUUUCUCUCUGAGUCUUUAACACCCAAAACUUAGUCAUUAAAUGUAUUUCCUGGCUGAGUGUGGUGGCUCACAUCUGUAAUCCCAGCACUUCGGGAGGCCAAGGUGGGUGGAUCAUUUGAGAUCAAGAGUUCAAGACCAGCCUGGCCAACAUGGUGAA
ensembl:lincRNA